GACGAACGCUGGCGGCAUGCCUAAUACAUGCAAGUCGAGCGAACAGAUGAAGUGCUUGCACUUCUGACGUUAGCGGCGAACGGGUGAGUAACACGUAAGGAAUCUACCUAUAAGCGGGGGAUAACAUUCGGAAACGGGUGCUAAUACCGCAUAAUAUCUUCUUCCGCAUGGAAGAAGAUUGAAAGACGGCUCUGCUGUCACUUAUAGAUGACCUUGCGGUGCAUUAGUUAGUUGUGGGGGUAAUGGCCUACAAAGACGAUGAUGCAUAGCCGACCGGAGAGGGUGAUCGGCCACAUUGGGACUGAGACACGGCCCAAACUCCUACGGGAGGCAGCAGUAGGGAAUCUUCCGCAAUGGGCGAAAGCCUGACGGAGCAAUGCCGCGUGAGUGAAGAAGGCCUUCGGGUCGUAAAACUCUGUUAUAAGAGAAGAACAAAUUGUAGAGUAAUUGCUACAGUCUUGACGGUAUCUUAUCAGAAAGCCACGGCUAACUACGUGCCAGCCGCCGCCGUAA
rnacentral:rRNA from 1 species